GUUAUUCUUCAGGAAAGAUGGCUGACAAAAAUACUAGAAUGGAAACACAUGGACUCCUGAAACAACCAGCAAACCAGGCGGUCGUCUUGUGAAACAGUGGAUGUAUAGAAUCUAGCUAGCUUAAGAAUUUACUGCAAAUUCAAUGUACAAUUUUGUAAGCUUGUCUUGCUGAUAUUUGCCAUGCAGAUAUAUGAAAUAACGCAGCUUGCUGUGUUCUUGCUUAUUGUGCAGUGGCAGAUUAAAAUACCUCUAUGCCUCUAUGGAUGUGUAGCUAGCUAUCUAGCCGAUCUGUGUAUGGACCCAAACGUUUGGUAUACUUAUUAGUUCAGAAACUAGCAAUGAACCUCAGCUAUCAUAGCCAGUUGUAUCAACUUCAAAACAGUCUGAAUGACAUUAAUGAAGCCUAUGGAUUUAGUAGAAUAUAAUAUAACUUUGUGCCAAGGAAAUACAUGAGAUCCCCACAUUGUAGCCUGUACAUUUUAAUAUAUUCACUGAUCAUGUACGUACUCUACCUUGGAAAAUAAAUGUGCAGUUUAGGUA